rnacentral:rRNA from 1 species
CUCAGAUUGAACGCUGGCGGCAGGCCUAACACAUGCAAGUCGAACGGUAACAGGAAGCAGCUUGCUGCUUUGCUGACGAGUGGCGGACGGGUGAGUAAUGUCUGGGAAACUGCCUGAUGGAGGGGGAUAACUACUGGAAACGGUAGCUAAUACCGCAUAACGUCGCAAGACCAAAGAGGGGGACCUUAGGGCCUCUUGCCAUCGGAUGUGCCCAGAUGGGAUUAGCUAGUAGGUGGGGUAACGGCUCACCUAGGCGACGAUCCCUAGCUGGUCUGAGAGGAUGACCAGCCACACUGGAACUGAGACACGGUCCAGACUCCUACGGGAGGCAGCAGUGGGGAAUAUUGCACAAUGGGCGCAAGCCUGAUGCAGCCAUGCCGCGUGUAUGAAGAAGGCCUUCGGGUUGUAAAGUACUUUCAGCGGGGAGGAAGGGAGUAAAGUUAAUACCUUUGCUCAUUGACGUUACCCGCAGAAGAAGCACCGGCUAACUCCGUGCCAGCAGCCGCGGUGAUACGGAGGGUGCAAGCGUUAAUCGGAAUUACUGGGCGUAAAGCGCACGCAGGCGGUCUGUUAAGUCAGAUGUGAAAUCCCCGGGCUCAACCUGGGAACUGCAUCUGAUACUGGCAAGCUUGAGUCUCGUAGAGGGGGGUAGAAUUCCAGGUGUAGCGGUGAAAUGCGUACAGAUCUGGAGGAAUACCGGUGGCGAACGCGGCCCCCUGGACGAAGACUGACGCUCAGGUGCGAAAGCGUGGGGAGCAAACAGGAUUAGAUACCCUGGUAGUCCACGCCGUAAACGAUGUCGACUUGGAGGUUGUGCCCUUGAGGCGUGGCUUCCGGAGCUAACGCGUUAAGUCGACCGCCUGGGGAGUACGGCCGCAAGGUUAAAACUCAAAUGAAUUGACGGGGGCCCGCACAAGCGGUGGAGCAUGUGGUUUAAUUCGAUGCAACGCGAAGAACCUUACCUGGUCUUGACAUCCACAGAACUUUCCAGAGAUGGAUUGGUGCCUUCGGGAACUGUGAGACAGGUGCUGCAUGGCUGUCGUCAGCUCGUGUUGUGAAAUGUUGGGUUAAGUCCCGCAACGAGCGCAACCCUUAUCCUUUGUUGCCAGCGGUCCGGCCGGGAACUCAAAGGAGACUGCCAGUGAUAAACUGGAGGAAGGUGGGGAUGACGUCAAGUCAUCAUGGCCCUUACGACCAGGGCUACACACGUGCUACAAUGGCGCAUACAAAGAGAAGCGACCUCGCGAGAGCAAGCGGACCUCAUAAAGUGCGUCGUAGUCCGGAUUGGAGUCUGCAACUCGACUCCAUGAAGUCGGAAUCGCUAGUAAUCGUGGAUCAGAAUGCCACGGUGAAUACGUUCCCGGGCCUUGUACACACCGCCCGUCACACCAUGGGAGUGGGUUGCAAAAGAAGUAGGUAGCUUAACCUUCGGGAGGGCGCUUACCACUUUGUGAUUCAUG